UACGGAGGGUGCAAGCGUUAUCCGGAUUUACUGGGUUUAAAGGGUGCGCAGGCGGAUAUGUAAGUCAGUGGUGAAAUCUUCGGGCUUAACCCGGAACUGCCGUUGAUACUAUAUAUCUUGAAUGCUGUGGAGGUAAGCAGAAUAUGUCAUGUAGCGGUGAAAUGCUUAGAGAUGACAUAGAAUACCUAUUGCGAAGGCAGCUUACUACGCAGAUAUUGACGCUCAUGCACGAAGCGUGGGGAUCAAACAGG
rnacentral:rRNA from 1 species